AUUGCUUCUGGUUACACGUCUCCGUCAAAGGUCCAGAUAAAUGUGCAUGCUUGGAAACGGUUUUCAUUAUAAAUUCAGGAUACAGAACUUGCUUUGCUAAUUUUAUUAUUUCUUACAUUUUUUUCUGCGAGAAUACUUCACCUGUAUACAACUGGAAAAACGUUACGAUGGAAAAGGAACUAAUAAGACAGGAAUAAUUUCAACAACAGAUAGUACAUGUAAAGAACACUCUACCCGCUGAAGAAUGUACAAAAUAAAUAACAUAUUUAUGGCAAGACAAAAGAUGAAAAGAGAGCUAAUGCAAUCGUUGCAUAUGGACACACGAGAACCAGCAAAUCCAGUGUUAUCCAACACACUUUCAAAAAUUAUCGCCGAUUGAACAGAGUCGACCAUAAUGCAAAUGCCUAAAGUCAAAGACGAAUGCAUAACAUUUAUACAUUGGAUUGUAUCGAAUGUGAUUUCCUCAAGAGUUCUUAAUAACAUUCUGUAAUCUUUGACUAAAACAAAAUUAUUAGAAAAUAGAUUAAUAUCUUAUUAAUUAAAUAUUUUACAGCCAAAAGCCAUCUUGGUAUAAUUGGAAACAACUAUUGCUAUGAAUAAAACGUACUAAUUCG